AGCCCUUAAGCUUAUUAUGUGUUAAUGGAAGGCUCUGGAAAGUGCCACGAUACAGGGUGAUAGUCCCGUACAUGAAAACGCAUUUUAAGUGAAAUCGAGUAGGUCGGAGCACGUGAAACUUUGACUGAAUAUAGGUGGACCAUCAUCUAAGGCUAAAUACUCCCAACUGACCGAUAGUGAACCAGUACCGUGAGGGAAAGGCGAAAAGAACCCCUGUGAGGGGAGUGAAAUAGAACCUGAAACCGUGUACGUACAAGCAGUAGGAGCAGACUUGUUCUGUGACUGCGUACCUUUUGUAUAAUGGGUCAGCGACUUAUAUUUUGUAGCGAGGUUAACCGAUUAGGGUAGCCGUAGGGAAACCGAGUCUUAACUGGGCGAAUAGUUGCAAGGUAUAGACCCGAAACCCGGUGAUCUAGCCAUGGGCAGGUUGAAGGUUGAGUAACAUCAACUGGAGGACCGAACCCACUAACGUUGAAAAGUUAGGGGAUGACCUGUGGUUAGGAGUGAAAGGCUAAUCAAACCGGGAGAUAGCUGGUUCUCCCCGAAAUCUAUUUAGGUAGAGCCUCGGACGAAUACUUACGGGGGUAGAGCACUGUUAAGGCUAGGGGGUCAUCCCGACUUACCAACCCUUUGCAAACUCCGAAUACCGUAAAGUACUAUCCGGGAGACACACGGCGGGUGCUAACGUCCGUCGUGAAGAGGGAAACAACCCAGACCGCCAGCUAAGGUCCCAAAGUCAUAGUUAAGUGGGAAACGAUGUGGAAAGGCCCAGACAGCCAGGAGGUUGGCUUAGAAGCAGCCAUCCUUUAAAGAAAGCGUAAUAGCUCACUGGUCGAGUCGGUCUGCGCGGAAGAUGUAACGGGGCUAAACUAUGCACCGAAGCUGCGGAUUCA
rnacentral:rRNA from 1 species